UGGAUAGUAUUAUUUAUGAAAUUUAACGGAUUUGGCGGCAAGAUAGCCACUUAGAGGAACCUGCCCUGUAAACGAUGAGCCACGAUUAACCUUACUUUUAUUAGAAUUCAGUUUGUAUACCGCUGUUGUCAGUUAGUUUCCUUAGAAAACUUUCGUACAUGAAAAAUUCAAGGACUUCAAGUAAAGGUGCAGCUUAUGUAAAAGAUAGAGGUGGGUUACAAUUAAAAGAAUAAUAUGGAUAAAGUAAAGAAAAAACUUUUGAAGGUGGAUUUAAUAGUAAAGUUUAAUAAGACUUGAUUAGAGCUCUAUCUUGUGUACACACCGCCCGUCGCUCGCGGGA
rnacentral:rRNA from 1 species